AUUGAACGCUGGCGGCAGGCCUAACACAUGCAAGUCGAGCGGAUGAGUGGAGCUUGCUCCAUGAUUCAGCGGCGGACGGGUGAGUAAUGCCUAGGAAUCUGCCUAUUAGUGGGGGACAACGUUUCGAAAGGAGCGCUAAUACCGCAUACGUCCUACGGGAGAAAGCAGGGGACCUUCGGGCCUUGCGCUAAUAGAUGAGC
rnacentral:rRNA from 1 species